rnacentral:rRNA from 1 species
AUUGAACGCUGGCGGCAUGCCUUACACAUGCAAGUCGAACGGCAGCACGGACUUCGGUCUGGUGGCGAGUGGCGAACGGGUGAGUAAUGUAUCGGAACGUACCUUUCAGUGGGGGAUAACGUAGCGAAAGUUACGCUAAUACCGCAUAUUCUGUGAGCAGGAAAGCAGGGGAUCGCAAGACCUUGCGCUGAUUGAGCGGCCGAUAUCAGAUUAGCUAGUUGGUGAGGUAAAGGCUCACCAAGGCGACGAUCUGUAGCGGGUCUGAGAGGAUGAUCCGCCACACUGGAACUGAGACACGGUCCAGACUCCUACGGGAGGCAGCAGUGGGGAAUUUUGGACAAUGGGGGCAACCCUGAUCCAGCCAUGCCGCGUGAGUGAAGAAGGCCCUUCGGGUUGGUUAAAGGUACGU